CAGGAACUCGAAGGAGCCUGGGGGAGCCGAAGCCAAGAGGGACGUGGCGCUCUGCGACGCGGGCGGGGAAGCCGCGCCCCUUCCCUCUCUAGCUUUCAUGGAGAAGCCUGCGAAGCAGGAAUUUGGGCGGGAUCCCAGAGAGCAUCAACUGGCCAAGUUCUUCAUUAUCUUCAGAAGAAGAGAGAGGGAGGCAGAGGAGUAUUUACUGACAAGAGACAAGGAGAAAUGAGGCUAAGAGCAAUCAAGUGACUUCCCAAGGUCAGACAUCUAGCUGAGAUCAAAGUCAAGACUACGUGGUUAAGAAUUGGGUGCUCUCUGGGGCACCUGGGUGGCUCAGUCGUUCAGCGUCUGCCUUCGGCUCAAGUCAUGAUCCCGGGGUCCUGGGAUCGAGCCCCGCAUCAGGCUCCCUGCCCGGCAGGAAGCCUGCUUCUCCCUCUCCCACUCCCCCUGCUUGUGUUCCCUCUCUAGCUGUCUCUCUCUC